UACAGAGGUCCCAAGCGUUGUUCGGAUUCAUUGGGCGUAAAGGGUGCGUAGGCGGCGAGGCAAGUCGGAUGUGAAAUCCCGGGGCUCAACUCCGGAACUGCAUUCGAUACUGCUUUGCUAGAGUACUGGGGAGGAGACUGGAAUUUACGGUGUAGCAGUGAAAUGCGUAGAUAUCGUAAGGAAGACCAGUGGCGAAGGCGAGUCUCUGGACAGUUCCUGACGCUGAGGCACGAAGGUCAGGGGAGCAAACGGG
rnacentral:rRNA from 1 species